UUAAAAAGCUCGUAGUUGAAUUUCGGGGUUAGUAGGUUGGUCAUGCCUCUGGUAUGUACUGGUCUCACUGAUUCCUCCUUCCUGAUGAACCGUAAUGCCAUUAAUUUGGUGUUGCGGGGAAUUUGGACUGUUACUUUGAAAAAAUUAGAGUGUUUAAAGCAAGCUAACGCUUGAAUACAUUAGCACGGAAUAAUGAAAUAGGACGUUCGAUCCUAUUUUGUUGGUUUCUAGGAUUGACGUAAUGAUUAAUAGGGAUAGUUGGGGG
rnacentral:rRNA from 1 species